GAGAAGGGACUGCUUGGAAAAGCUGAAAACAGGUAACUUUCCCACAGUAAAAAAGAAAUCUCUUGAAUUGAAAAGUGAAGAAACCAUUAAGGACUCUGUAGAGGAAGAUGGGAAGGUUGAAGGCUUCCAUGGUUCUUGCAUAUACACGCUUGCUAACCUCUCCCAUGGGUCAUAUAAACUCACCACAAUGAGCACGCCUGACUCAGCCUUAGGCAAGGGGAGGAACACUGCAAGUGCAUGGCAAUCUAUGCGGUAGAAGCAUAGAACAUCAGUGAAAGGAUAACAGAAUAUAAGGCGGGAAACACACAGGUAAGGACCACCUGAAAGAAUUCAGAUCAUCUGGGCAGAUCAUCUGAAAGAUCCAUCUGAGCAGAUAAGCCACCGCAAAUUGUUGGGAGAGAAGUAGAUGUACCUUUUCAAAAGAUGAAAGAGCCUGGCUUUAUAGUGGAUCAGAUGGGCAACGAUGAAGACUUGAACCAAGGCCUUGGCAGUGCCAAUGGAUAUUAGGGGGUGGAUAUAAG
ensembl:lncRNA